UACGUAGGGGGCAAGCGUUGUCCGGAAUUAUUGGGCGUAAAGCGCGUGUAGGCGGCCAGAUAAGUCCGCUGUGAAAUCUCGAGGCUCAACUUCGAGCUGUCGGUGGAAACUGUCUGGCUAGAGUCCGGAAGAGGAGAAUGGAAUUCCUGGUGUAGCGGUGAAAUGCGCAGAUAUCAGGAAGAACACCCGUGGCGAAGGCGGUCUCUGGGACGGUACUGACGCUGGAGACGCGAAAGCGUGGGGAGCGAACAGG
rnacentral:rRNA from 1 species